rfam:Candidatus Amoebophilus sp. 36-38 SCNpilot_cont_1000_p_scaffold_11564, whole genome shotgun sequence.
AGAGGGUUGGCAGAGCGGUUUAAUGCGGCGGUCUUGAAAACCGUUGUACUUGCGAGAGUACCGGGGGUUCGAAUCCCUCACCCUCUA